AUGCCGCUAUUUCCAGUAGUUUUGUGGGCUCAGAAAAAGGAGUGCCUUUAUCUAACUAUCGAUUUACAAGAUGCAGAAGAUGUCAAAAUUGACUUAAAAGAAGAUAAUUUGUAUUUUUAUGGAAAAAAAGAUAACAAUGAGUAUGAAUUUACAUUAAAUUUUUUAAAACCAAUAAAUGUAGAAGAAUCUAAAUAUGCUACUAAAAGAAACAUUAAAUUUAAAAUAAUAAAGAAAGAAAAAGAAAGAUGGAAGACAAUUAAUAAGGAUGGAAAAAAACAUUGGGUUAAAUGUGACUGGAACUCAUGGGUUGAUACAGAUGAAGAAAAUAAAACAACUGAAUAUGAUGAUAUGGCUAUGAACAAUUUUGGUGGUAUGGGUGGAAUGCCAGAUAUGAGUCAGUUUGGUGGUGACAUGAAUAAUUUUUCAGGAUUAGGAGGAAUGGAUCAAUUUAAAAAUAUGCCAGAUAUGAACAAUAUGAAUAAUGAUGAUGAUUCAAGUUCUUAUGGAGAUGACUCAAGUGAUGCCGAUGAUGAUGAUGAUGAUGAUGAUGCAACAAGUGGCGGUGAUGGUGAUGAUACAAGUGUAGGUGAUGAUGAGGAAGGUCACGAUGCUGAUAAUAAAAUGGAUUUAAAGAAAGAUAAGGACGUAUCUAAAUGUAAAGUAAAUAAUGAUAAUAAUAUACAUGAAGAAGAAGCAAAGAUUCAAGAACCAGUUGAAGUAGAAGAACCCGUGGCUUAAUUUUUAAACACUUUCUUAGUUAUGUUAAUACAUAUAUAUAUUAGUAAAUGCAUUAGUAAAUAUAUUAUUUAAUAUAUUUAAUUUAUAUUGUAUAUACCUAUGUAACUCAUCUUGUGUAUUUAUAGUAUCAAAAAAGGGAGGCGCUUCUUUUUUAUUUUUAUAUAAUUAUGUACAUAAGUAUAUAUAUAUAUAUAUAUAUAUAUAUAUAUGCAUACGACCACAUAUGAAUAUAUAUAUUGUAUGACCCUGUUACUUCAUAUAUUUAG
rnacentral:lncRNA from 1 species